GAAACUAACCAGGAUUCCCUCAGUAACGGCGAGUGAAGGGGGAUUAGCCCAGCAUCGAAGCCUAUGGUUACUUAACUGUAAGGCAAUGUGAUGUUAUGGAUUAUGCCUAGGGUCACUGAUCAACUCGAAGUCCAAUAUUGAAUGUGGCUUUUGUAUUUUGCCCAGAGCGGGUGAUAGGCCCUUGCGAGUUGAUUGUUAGUUAUGUUGAGUGACCUCUAGAUGCAUUAUCUAUGGAGUCGGAUUGCUUGAGAAUGCAGUCCAAAGUUGGUGGUAAACUCCAUCAAAGGCUAAAUACUGGCACGAGUCCGAUAGCAAACAAGUACCGUGAGGGAAAGUUGAAAAGUACUCUGAAGAGAGAGUAAAUAGUACGUGAAACCACAUGUAGGUAAACGGGUGGAGUCCAGCUGCGUAUUUUGGGGGCUUAACUGGCACAUGAAUAUAUGGGUGUUGUGAACUGCCAUGCAUUGGUUUGCCGAUAAGGGCAAGUUAGGCCUAGCCUAAUUUGAGUUCUGUCGUGUAGACUGUUUGAGCCAUGCGUGUGUAGAUUGUGUGUGUUCGUGUGCCAGUGAUAUUCCUCAAGAUUGACAUCACGGUCAAUAUGGCUGCUAGUAUGUGAUGUGUCAAACCGUAAAGUGGUGGACCUUGAAGUUUGCUCUUUGCGGAAAGGCAGGUAAUUUGAACUGUGUACGCACUUGUGUGUGCAUAAUUUGAGUUUAAAUUUUGGCUAUGGCCCGCCGACCAUCAUGUUGUUUAUGUUUACAUUUAACUAUGCAGUGUAUUGGUUAUAGUUUGUGUUUAUGUGCAAUUAAUUGCUUUACGUUACCGGGUUUUGUUCAUGUUAGGUUAUGUGUAAAAGCGUGCCUAAUGUGAUACAUACUUGUGUGCGUGUGCAAUGAAGUUGUGUGUUCGCGUGAACUGUGGUGCUGUGGUA
rnacentral:rRNA from 1 species